UACGUAGGGUGCAAGCGUUAAUCGGAAUUACUGGGCGUAAAGCGUGCGCAGGCGGUUGUGCAAGACAGAUGUGAAAUCCCCGGGCUCAACCCGGGAACUGCGUCCGAUACUGGGAGGCUUGAAUCCGGGAGAGGGAUGUGGAAUUCCAGGUGUAGCGGUGAAAUGCGUAGAUAUCUGGAGGAACACCGGUGGCGAAGGCGGCAUCCUGGACCGGUAUUGACGCUGAGGCGCGAAAGCCAGGGGAGCAAACGGG
rnacentral:rRNA from 1 species